AUUGAACGCUGGCGGCAGGCCUAACACAUGCAAGUCGAGCGAGCGGCGGACGGGUGAGUAAUGUCUGGGAAACUGCCUGAUGGAUGGGGAUAACUCCUGGAACCGGUAGCUAAUACCGCAUACCAUCAGAUGUGCCCCGCUGGGAUUAGCUAGGAGGUGGGGUAACGGCUAACCUAGGCGACGAUCCCUAGCUGGUCUGAGAGGAUGACCAGACAAAAGGUAACUGAGACACGGUCCAGACUCCGACGGGAGGCAGCAGGGGGGAAUAUUGCACAAGGGGCGCAAGCCUGAUGCAGCCAUGCCGCGUGUGUGAAGAAGGCAUUCGGGUUGUAAAGCACUUUCAGCGGGGAGGCGUUACCCGCAGAAGAAGCACCGGCGAACUCCGUGACAGCAGCCGCGGUAAUAC
rnacentral:rRNA from 1 species